rnacentral:rRNA from 1 species
GACGAACGCUGGCGGCGUGCUUAACACAUGCAAGUCGAACGGAGUGGCGAACGGGUGAGUAACACGUGGGUGAUCUGCCUUGCAAUUCGGGAUAAGCUUGGGAAACUGGGUCUAAUACCGGAUAGUACAAGAUGAGCUCGCGGCCUAUCAGCUUGUUGGUGGGGUAAUGGCCUACCAAGGGGGCGACGGGUAGCCGGCCUGAGAGGGUGUACGGCCACAGGGGGACUGAGAGACGGCGCAGACUCCUACGGGAGGCAGCAGUGGGGAAUAUUGCACAAUGGGCGGAAGCCUGAUGAAGCGACGCGGGGGGGGGGAUGAAGGCUUUCGGGUUGUAAACUCCGUUAGACAGGGACGCGGUACCUGUAUAAGAAGCACCGGCUAACUACGUGCCAGCCGCCGCGGUAAUAC